AUCUUGAAUAAAAUGUCCAACACUAUUCAGCAAUAUAUCCUUCUGCAAUCAAGCCCUCGGGAUGGGAUCUAUUGCAUACAUAAUCCUUGGUGGGUUGGCAGUCUAUAUCUUGAAGUUGUUUCAUGUGAUGGUUACAAUUUGUUGAAAAAUUCAGAUGGUUCAGUUGAGGUGCUCUUGGCUACUCUUUGAUGCUUAGACUUCAUCUAUGCCUGAGAGCUCUCUUCUAUCUGAUUUGGUUGUAAAUGUUCUCUAGAGCUGUGCAUAGUUGGCGUUUUUCUGCACUUUUCUUUUUCGCUUGGAUAAGUAGUAGGUAGGAUUUCAUAACUUUAUCUGAGUAGAUCAAUAUUGUGAGGGCUCAUUCCACAUAGAGCUGGGUUUGACUUAUUCUUUAGGUAAAUUCAGUUUGCUAUAUCUCAUGGUCCAUUAUCUGGCAAAGCCUGAGGAGAUGAACUAGGAAAAUGUUUGUUGGAGUUGAAUUGUUAAAAGGUUCUUCUAUUCUUCGAUAGUGUCUUUGGUUUUGGUGUAUACACAAUUGUACUCAUGAGUCACAAAUAUGAGCUUCUCAGUCCUCCGGCUUUAAACAUAGCCCCAGAUGAGACAGAAUCCAUAAAAACCAUUUCUCAAUGCAGUAUAAUAUACAGUUCCAAAGUCUCUAUCUCAAGGCCUAUUUCUGCUCCUGCCAUCCAGCUGUCAUCUCUGUCAUGCCAGAUCAAGGGACCUUCUCCCUCUCCCAAAUUUUAUCUCUGAAGUCUCUGAACAACUAAGCAAAGAGGACUUUUUUGUUUCUAUUUGAAACCCAGAUUGCACUUCUGCUCAUAGAUCCAUGCUACUUCUGAGAAACUUAAGGGUCAUUGCUGGGUGCAAUGGUAAAAAGUUUGGGCCGACAAGCGCAAUGGUGCAAGUUCAGUCUUGAGAUAGCCAGUUUGUGCAAACAAAUGCUAAAGGUUAAGACUGUCCGCAUUUUGCCCCUGACCCCGGAUUGCUAGGACCAUAACUGGGUGGUUCUGGAGGCAACCCAUAGUAUUUGGCAAGGGAGGUCCAUCUGAAAACCAGUUUGGCAAGGGAGGUCCAUCUGAAAACCAGUACACAUAGGUGCCAAAAGGAAAGCAGGUUUGGAUAAGGUAGCUUAGCUCUUUCCGCAUGCAAACAAACUUCUUGUCGACUGCAUAAUGCACGGAUAAGGCGAUGAAACAUUAUCACGCUUAUAUUUUUAUGAACCUAAAGUUGGGAGAUCAGGUAACAAUUGAAUGCUUAUUUGUGAAUCAUGCCGCACUUGGUAUCUAUCUUGUGACUUGUGUCUAAACUUAGUGAAGAUCUGUCCUUAGUUGGCUAAAGAGAUCAUGAUCAGGCGACACGACGCCAGAGGCUUGCAAGGAACGUGAACCAAGGACUACCAUUAAAACCAACUGAGAUGCCGAGCAUAUUUCUAGAUAGCAGCCUCCUUGGUUCACAAUUAAAUAAUCCCCCAGUGCUUGCUUCAUUAUCAUGAUGCGUACAUUUUCGUUUUGCUAUUCUUUCCUUUUUGGUGUUGUCAUGAUAUGUACGUCGCUUGCUUGAAAAAUUGCCAACGUGAAAUGCCUUUGUGCUGUAGCAUGCAUGUAAGUGGUGAGCCGCGAGCAUGUCCACCCCGGUUUAUGUCAUCUUCCUCGUGCGCGCUUUCAGGAUUGCCUCAGACAUGAUAAUAUCUCAAUCUGUUUUUGGUUGUAAAGGACUACGAGAGUGCUGUCAUUGUUGUAGUGGAUGAUGACUCCCAUCGUUGUUUAUUUUGUUUCCUUUUUUUUCCGGAAUUUUUCCCUUUUGCCCGAUUCUAGAAGACAACAAGCAUCUCCAUCCAACACGCAAGUUGAAAAGUUUCCCGAUGCGACAAAUGGCUGAGCAAAGAGGUUAAUGAUUGGCUACUAUUUAGACAGCAGAUUAUGGGAGGGAUAAGGUAAUUGUACACUUGAACCUUGCAUUAAAGAAUUAGGCGAGGUGGACACCAAUAUCUUUUCUGCGGUGCAGUUGCUCAUGUAGAUGUUGGUGACACUCAUCUGGCUUCCAUUCUCUGCAUCACUAGAUGAUGAUGGUGACUGAACUGAACCAUCUCUACAUAACUGCUCACAUUUGGUGGGCAAUCCGCAGCACCAUUGCGGGUGGUACUCGCCGAAGCUAAAAUGGCAGGUGGGAAGACCUCUAGCUGAGGCACAAGAAGAGUGCGACGGCAAGCUUCUUGCUCCAAGGAAAAUCCAAAACCCAGGCUCGUAGCAGGACAGUAAAAUUUUUUCUAAUCAAUGAAGUCUAUCAUGUUUAAGGACCUUAAUAAGAUUACAUUAAGAAAUCAAUCUGAAAGCCCAUGCUGAAAUGUCAAGGUCUGUCAUUAUUUGUUUCAACCAACUGUACCAGAAUAUGCUGGAGAGUUUGACACGAAGAUGCCAACAUACACACAGGUCAAGCAUUAGCGGGACGAAGAUUUAAUCUGUAAAAGAAUAAUGCAGAGGGUUGA